AGCAGCCGCGGUAAUUCCAGCUCCAAUAGCGUAUAUUAAAGUUGUUGCAGUUAAAAAGCUCGUAGUUGAAUUUCGGGAUUUGUCAGUUGGUCGGGCUUCACUGUCCGUAUUGACUUGAUGGAUUCUUACCUUCUGAAUAACCAGCAUGCUAUUAAGUUAGUGCGUUGGGGAAGCAGAUCUAUUACCUUGAAAAAAUUAGAGUGCUUAAAGCGAGCUAGUGCUUGAAUAGAUUAGCAUGGAAUAAUAAAAUAGGACGGCAUGGUUCUAUUUUGUUGGUUUCUAGGAUCACCGUAAUGAUUAAUAGGGAUAGUUGGGGGCAUUAGUAUUCAAUUGUCAGAGGUGAAAUUCUUGGAUUUAUUGAAGACUAACUUCUGCGAAAGCAUUUGCCAAGGAUGUUUUCAUUAAUCAAGAACGAAAGUUAGGGGAUCGAAGACGAUCAGAUACCGUCGCAGUCUUAACCAUAGACUAUGCCGACUAGGAAUCGGACGAUGUUAAUUUUAUAAUGACUUGUUCGGCACCU
rnacentral:rRNA from 1 species